GAGAGAAAAAAAAAUAGAAGACUAAAGGUAAGAGGGAAGGAAAGAAGGAGGGAAGGAGGGAAGGGGGGAGGAGGAGGCAGGCAGGUGGGAAAGCAAACAUAGAUACGGGUCAGCAAGUCAGAGGUAAGCAGGCAGAAAAGCAGGGAGAAAGAAAGAGAGAGAGAAAGAAAGAAAGGCAAAGGAAAGAGAUAUUAGUAGGAAGAGACACAAAUACAAGCAGGAAUGGAGUCAGAUAAGCAGGAAGAUAAGAAGGCAGCGACAGAAGCCAGCAGAAGGAGUUAUAAGCAGGCAAACAGCUACGGAAAGGAAGACUGCUUGGGUGGACAGAUAGACAGCCAGACAGAAACACGGACGGACAGACAGACAAGCACACAGACAGACAGACAGACAGACAGACAAGCAGAGAAGCAGAAUGAAGUUACAAUCAAGAUAAGGAGAGAAAAGAGCAGGAGGAAAAGCAGACAACCACUAAGGAAGACAAGCAGAUGAGCAGCGAUGUAGGAAAGAAGCAGAGGCAAGGAAGUAACAAGCAGUGCUAUGCUUGGUGGCAGUCCAGGAGAAAAAAUAAUCACUUACCAAACUAGAGUCAACAAACCCUCCAAUGAAAUGUCCAAGACUCUCCAACUAAACUCUACCAUUGAGGACACCCUGAACUGUCGUGCACUGACAUCACAGGUUCACUUGACUUACACCACUAAUGUCGUGGAAGCAACCAACUAUAUGAGCAAGUUCCCUUCCCACUAGAGAUCUGCAUCUUCUGCCUCAUUGUCCGCCUCCGCAUCUUCAUCAUCAUCGUCGUCGUCGUCAUCGUCGUCUUCGUGGUGGCGGCUGCGGUGAGCGUCAAACAUGUCAUGGUGGUCCAG